rnacentral:rRNA from 1 species
UGGGGAAUAUUGGACAAUGGGCGAAAGCCUGAUCCAGCCAUGCCGCGUGAGUGAUGAAGGCCUUAGGGUUGUAAAGCUCUUUUGUCCGGGAAGAUAAUGACUGUACCGGAAGAAUAAGCCCCGGCUAACUUCGUGCCAGCAGCCGCGGUAAUACGAAGGGGGCUAGCGUUGUUCGGAAUCACUGGGCGUAAAGCGCACGUAGGCGGACCAUUAAGUCAGGGGUGAAAGCCUGGAGCUCAACUCCAGAACUGCCUUUGAUACUGAUGGUCUCGAGUUCGGAAGAGGUUGGUGGAACUGCGAGUGUAGAGGUGAAAUUCGUAGAUAUUCGCAAGAACACCAGUGGCGAAGGCGGCCAACUGGUCCGAUACUGACGCUGAGGUGCGAAAGCGUGGGGAGCAAACAGG